rnacentral:misc_RNA from 1 species
GAUGAAGAACGCAGCGAAAUGCGAUAAGUAGUGUGAAUUGCAGAAUUCAGUGAAUCAUCGAAUCUUUGAACGCACAUUGCGCCCCUUGGUAUUCCAUGGGGCAUGCCUGUUCGAGCGUCAUUUGUACCUUCAAGCUUUGCUUGGUGUUGGGUGUUUGUCCAUUCUCUUGCAGAGGGACUCGCCUUAAAGUAAUUGGCAGCCAGUGUUUUGGUUUUGAAGCGCAGCACAAGUCGCGAUUCAACACUAUACGCCAGCUUCCACAAGCCUUUUUCACUUUUGACCUCGGAUCAGGUAGGGAUACCCGCUGAACUUAAGCAUAUCAACAAGCGGAGGA